CGGGUGAGUAAUGUAUGGGGAUCUGCCUGAUGGCGGGGGAUAACUACUGGAAACGGUAGCUAAUACCGCAUAAUGUCUACGGACCAAAGCGGGGGACCUCCGGGCCUCGCGCCAUCAGAUGAACCCAUAUGGGAUUAGCUAGUAGGUAAGGUAACGGCUUACCUAGGCGACGAUCCCUAGCUGGUCUGAGAGGAUGAUCAGCCACACUGGGACUGAGACACGGUCCAG
rnacentral:rRNA from 1 species